UGAGGCCAAUUGCAGUCUCCUCCCCCCCCGGGUGUGGCCACUUUGCCCUCCCUGCUCCCUGCCCCAUAUAAGCAGAGCAGGAGGAGCCCAGCCCCAAGCUGGGCCCAUUGCGGGCCAAGGGAUCCUCCGCCGGCAUCCCAGGUUCUGCGGUGGAUGCAGACAUGGAGCAGGAGCAGAACUGGAGCUGGGAACGGAGCAGGAGCCUCGAAAGUUUUGUUCUAGGUUCUGCGGUGGAUGCAGACAUGGAGCAGGAGCAGAACUGGAGCUGGGAACGGAGCAGGAGCAGCAGCUGGGAAUGGAACUGGUAACGGAGCAGAAGCGGGCUGGCUGGAGGAGCACAGGGGCCGGAGCUGCAUUCAGCUGCCCGGGGGCAGGCAGCGCUGCCAGGACCCUGGCGCACACCCGCACAGGCUGUGCCGUGCCCCGGCAGGAGCUUUUGCAGCAGCUGCUCUCCGCUGCGGGUUCAGUGUCCUGCUGCAAGGAGGCUCUGCCUGCAGCUCAGAGCUGCCUUGCACCGUCUCAAGGGGCUCUCCAGGAAGGAGUCCCUCAGCCUGCUCUCAGCUCUCCUUCAGCUGCUGAAACGUAGCUCGAAGGUCUCCCUGGAGCCUUCUCCUCUCCAGGCUGAGCAGCCACAGCUCUCUCAGGCUGCCUUCACAGCAGAGCUUCUCCCACCCUCUGCUCAUGUUUGUGGCCUGCUCUGGAAGCCCUCCAGCAGCUCCCUGGCUCCCUUGUGUUGGGGGUGCCCCAGAGCUGGCCACAGCAGUCCAGGCUGAGCUCUCCCCAAAGCAGAGGGGCAGAUGGUUCACAAGCACAGACCCCACAGGCUGCCCAACGACCUUCCCACACUGCAGCUCCAGGUUUCAGUCACAUCCUUUUAGUGUCAAAGCUGAGAGACUUGAGGGCUAAGGCACCAGCAGCACUGUGCUUCAAGCCAGAGAAACACCAAAUCAAAGGAGACCUCUCUUAACUGCAGUUUAAUUGCCCAAGCCAAGCACUAAGACAAGGAACAUGCAGAUGAAUUGGGUGACUUGCAGAGCCUAAACAGCUUUAUGAGGCUGCUCCAACACAGUGCCCAGUUACAAACUGCUUCCCUGUGGAAGCAUUUUCACUUCCAGUGUUCUCCAAGCACCUGAUUUUUCACACAGACCCUUUCCUCUGUGGCCCCAAAGGUCUUCAUUAGUUAAAGGAAGAUUUUCUUUGCUUUGCAGUAAGAACAAUAAGAGAAAUGCUUUGGUCUAAAAAAUCCUUGAAGCUUUCCUCUUGGUUUGUUGAAAUGAGCUGUAAUGAAUGCCAAGUUUCUGGCCAGGUGAGCUGAGUUCAAGGCAAGUGUUGAUGAA